rnacentral:lncRNA from 1 species
GCCUGGGAGUCAGGUAGCAGGGCCUUUGGGAUCCAGUCGCUCAUUGACUGUGAGCUCAGGCAAGCUCGUACACUCCAGAGGCUCCUCUGCUUCCGUGUUUCACGAGAAUGCAGUGUUACAGGAUCCUAAAUGCAGUUGUGAGGAUUAAAUGUGAAAGUGCUCAUGGCAUACAGAAUGCUGAACCCAGGCCUGGCGCAGAAGGGUCAGCCAUUUCUAAUGGGAUACAGGCACACAUGCAUGUCCACCACAUGCAUGCCUGGUGCCUGCGGAGUUCAGAAGAGAUGAUCAGAUUCCUUGGAACUGGAGUUCAGGAUGGUGUAUGUCUUUCACGGUCUUUCAUGUGCUUGACCAGGCGAGGAAGGACUCAACUGAAAGAGGUGAGACACGCCCUAUAGGUUUUCAGUACUUGGGUGGUGUUUCCUGCCUUUCAGCUUCCUUACUUCAAAUUCAUUUCCAAUGGUUCUGGUUUGAUUGACUUUCUUUUUUCUGCUUAUGAUGGAUAGUGUUCAUAAAAUCCACCCAUCUGAAACAGUCCCAUCCAUACACCCAUCACACAUAAUGAUAGAGGGCAAUUCCAGUGCUUUGAAGAUCCUCUAUGCUCUCUUUCAUAUCAGCGCCUCCACCCACACCUUUUGACUUCCAUUAUUGUCUGAAUGCUUUUCCUUCACCCCAGCUUCAUAUUGCAAUCAAAUUUGAUUGAUUUUACUGGACAGUGACUGAACAUGAAGAAUGCUAUUGUCUGUAACCAUAACUCAUUUUGAAAACAGAUGUUUCUGUAUGUUAUUUAUUUAAUUAUAUGUUGUACGCAAAACUUCCUCAUAUGUGGCUGGCUUUUGGAUCUUAUCUAGUUUAUGGGUGUAGAGGACAAUUCCCUAUAGAUAGUCUUAUGAACAUCUUUUUUAACAGGUAAACUCAGUGUCUUGGUAAUAGGAGUGAAGUUGGUAAGUAGCAGGAUAGUCAAAUGUAUAUGGCAUGAGCAGAGCUGUCAAAUAGCCUUCCGAGGCAGAUGUCUUUUCUCACUCCUAGCAGCAACAUCUGAGGGUCCCAUUUGCUAUCACCAGCAUUUCUGUCUUCUAAUUUCAGUCUUUCAGGAGGUAAUUCUGACCUGGCAAAUUUGAUGUACAUCAAGAUGAUUAAAAACAAUGAUGUAAUCAUUCUGUGAAGAGAAGAAACAUCACUUACCCCGGCUGCUUCAUUUGCAUGACAUUAGUUUGGGUUAUUUACACAAAUUAGUUUGAAAACUUUAAAACAUUUUAUGGGCAUUCUUGCUAAAAAAUCUUCCAAAUGUGUCCUAGCUUUAGGUAGGUUACUUAAGACAUAUAUAUUUGAUUUUUAGUGGGUAGCUUUUUCUUUCUCACUUCUUUAUUUUACAUUAUAUAUAUUUAUUUUUGUUGGAUAUUUUUAUUUACAUUUCAAAUGUUAUUCCCUUUCACGAUUCCUGUCCUAUUCCCUCCCCUUGUUCUAUAUGGGUAUUCCUCUCCCCAUCUACGCCCCCAACAUUCCCUUACAUUGUGGGUCUAACCUUGGCAGGACCAAGGACUUCUCUUUCCUUUGGUGCCCAACAAGGCCAUCUUCUGCUACAUAUGCAGCUGGAGUCAUUGGUCAGUCCAUGUGUACUCUUUGGGUAGUGGUUUAGUCCCUGGGAGCUCUGGUUGGUCGGUAUUGUUGUUCUUAUGGGGUUGCAAACCCCUUCAGCUCCUUCAGUCCUUUCUCUAACUCCUCCUUAAAUCAUUAAGCAAGAAUAUGCUAGAUAGACUUGACUACAGGCAAUGUGACGGAGGCAUUUCUCAACUGCAAAUGGAUGGAACUUGAGACUAUUAUCCUGAGGGAGAUUACCCAGUCCAAAAGGACAUUCAUGAAUGGUAUCUACUCACUUUUAAGUGGAUAUUAGCCAUAAAAUACCCAUUCUACCCUCCACAGACACAAAGAAGCUAAACAAGAAGGAAGGCACAAUUGAGAAUGCUUUAAUUUCACUUAAAAGGGGUAAUAAAACAGAAGAGGCAGAUGGAGGGAGGGAACUGGGUGAGAGAGUGG